ensembl:rRNA 5S_rRNA 5S ribosomal RNA
AUCUGCAGAUUGUUUCUUUCAUCUGAACUUAAAACUGGGCUAUUUGUCAGAAGCUAAGCAGUAUUAGGCCUGGUUAGUACUUAGAAGGGAGACCACCUAGGAAGACCAGGUGCUGUAGGCG